rnacentral:rRNA from 2 species
UGGGCCCUGGCGGCAUCUACCAUGCAAGUCGACGGAAAGGCCCUUCGGGGUACUCGAGUGGCGAACGGGUGAGUAACACGUGGGUGAUCUGCCCUGCACUUUGGGAUAAGCCUGGGAAACUGGGUCUAAUACCGAAUAGGACCGCGCUCUUCAUGGGGUGUGGUGGAAAGCUUUUGCGGUGUGGGAUGGGCCCGCGGCCUAUCAGCUUGUUGGUGGGGUAAUGGCCUACCAAGGCGACGACGGGUAGCCGGCCUGAGAGGGUGACCGGCCACACUGGGACUGAGAUACGGCCCAGACUCCUACGGGAGGCAGCAGUGGGGAAUAUUGCACAAUGGGCGCAAGCCUGAUGCAGCGACGCCGCGUGAGGGAUGACGGCCUUCGGGUUGUAAACCUCUUUCAAUAGGGACGAAGCGCAAGUGACGGUACCUAUAGAAGAAGGACCGGCCAACUACGUGCCAGCAGCCGCGGUAAUACGUAGGGUCCGAGCGUUGUCCGGAAUUACUGGGCGUAAAGAGCUCGUAGGUGGUUUGUCGCGUUGUUCGUGAAAACUCACAGCUUAACUGUGGGCGUGCGGGCGAUACGGGCAGACUAGAGUACUGCAGGGGAGACUGGAAUUCCUGGUGUAGCGGUGGAAUGCGCAGAUAUCAGGAGGAACACCGGUGGCGAAGGCGGGUCUCUGGGCAGUAACUGACGCUGAGGAGCGAAAGCGUGGGGAGCGAACAGGAUUAGAUACCCUGGUAGUCCACGCCGUAAACGGUGGGUACUAGGUGUGGGUUUCCUUCCUUGGGAUCCGUGCCGUAGCUAACGCAUUAAGUACCCCGCCUGGGGAGUACGGCCGCAAGGCUAAAACUCAAAGGAAUUGACGGGGGCCCGCACAAGCGGCGGAGCAUGUGGAUUAAUUCGAUGCAACGCGAAGAACCUUACCUGGGUUUGACAUGCACAGGACGCCAGUAGAGAUAUUGGUUCCCUUGUGGCCUGUGUGCAGGUGGUGCAUGGCUGUCGUCAGCUCGUGUCGUGAGAUGUUGGGUUAAGUCCCGCAACGAGCGCAACCCUUGUCUCAUGUUGCCAGCACGUUAUGGUGGGGACUCGUGAGAGACUGCCGGGGUCAACUCGGAGGAAGGUGGGGAUGACGUCAAGUCAUCAUGCCCCUUAUGUCCAGGGCUUCACACAUGCUACAAUGGCCGGUACAAAGGGCUGCGAUGCCGUGAGGUGGAGCGAAUCCUUUCAAAGCCGGUCUCAGUUCGGAUCGGGGUCUGCAACUCGACCCCGUGAAGUCGGAGUCGCUAGUAAUCGCAGAUCAGCAACUCGCGAAUCGUCC